rnacentral:tRNA from 1 species
AGAGAGUUGUCCGAGUGGUUGAAGGAGCACGCCUGGAAAGUGUGUAAGGUCAAAAGCCUUCGCGGGUUCGAAUCCCGCACUCUCUGC